rnacentral:rRNA from 1 species
GAUGAACGCUGGCGGCGUGCCUAAUACAUGCAAGUCGAGCGAACGGACGAGAAGCUUGCUUCUCUGAUGUUAGCGGCGGACGGGUGAGUAACACGUGGAUAACCUACCUAUAAGACUGGGAUAAAUUCGGGAAACCGGAGCUAAUACCGGAUAAUAUUUUGACCCGCAUGGUUCAAAAGUGAAAGACGGUCUUGCUGUCACUUAUAGAUGGAUCCGCGCUGCAUUAGCUAGUUGGUAAGGUAACGGCUUACCAAGGCAACGAUGCAUAGCCGACCUGAGAGGGUGAUCGGCCACACUGGAGCUGAGACACGGUCCAGACUCCUACGGGAGGCAGCAGUAGGGAAUCGUCCGCAAAGGGCGAAAGCCUGACGGAGCGGCGCCGCGUGAGUGAUGAAGGUCUUCGGAUCGGAAAACUCUGUUAUGAGUGAAGAACAUAUGUGUAAGUAACUGUGCACAUCUUGACGGUACCUAAUCAGAAAGCCACGGCUAACUACGUG